UUCUUUUAGGAAAUUCAUAAUAUAGUUUGAUGAUGGAAUAAGGCUAGUAAGAUCUAUGUCUAAUUUUGAAUAAGUC
rnacentral:snoRNA from 1 species